UACGGAGGGUGCAAGCGUUAUCCGGAUUUAUUGGGUUUAAAGGGUCCGUAGGCUGAUUUGUAAGUCAGUGGUGAAAUCUCACAGCUUAACUGUGAAACUGCCAUUGAUACUGCAAGUCUUGAGUGUUGUUGAAGUAGCUGGAAUAAGUAGUGUAGCGGUGAAAUGCAUAGAUAUUACUUAGAACACCAAUUGCGAAGGCAGGUUACUAAGCAACAACUGACGCUGAUGGACGAAAGCGUGGGGAG
rnacentral:rRNA from 1 species